rnacentral:ncRNA from 2 species
ACAAAGUGAAGGAUAAGUAGCAACUGAUAUUUUCUUGAACAGGAAGCGGCGGGACUGAGAAGUCGUCAAGGAGUUGGUUGUGAAUUGGGCCUUCAAUCGGGAAUUAGUGAGUAACUAAUUCGGGUAGCACCCUUAUCGCGUGAGUGGCACGGAUGAUUUUCGUGCAAUUUAGGUGGUACCACGUAGAAGCGUCCUAAUU